rnacentral:rRNA from 1 species
GAUGAACGCUAGCUACAGGCUUAACACAUGCAAGUCGCGGGGCGGCAUGGGGGUUGCUUGCAAUCCCCGAUGGCGACCGGCGCACGGGUGAGUAACGCGUAUCCAACCUGCCCUUCACCACGGGAUAACCCGGCGAAAGUCGGACUAAUACCGUAUGUUGUCCAUUGACGGCAUCCGAUUUGGACGAAAGGUUUGGCGGUGAAGGAUGGGGAUGCGUCCGAUUAGCUGGACGGCGGGGUGACGGCCCACCGUGGCGACGAUCGGUAGGGGUUCUGAGAGGAAGGUCCCCCACACUGGAACUGAGACACGGUCCAGACUCCUACGGGAGGCAGCAGUGAGGAAGAUUGGUCAAGGGGCGUAAGCCUGAACCAGCCAAGUAGCGUGCAGGAUGACGGCCCUAUGGGUGGUAAACUGCUUUUAUGCGGGGAUAAAGUGGCCCACGUGUGGGUUUUUGCAGGUACCGCAUGAAUAAGGACCGGCUAAUUCCGUG